GCCUUGGUGGUGCAGUGGUAGAGCACGCGUCCCCGGAGAAGACGAAACGUGGGUUCGAUUCCCUUUUGAGGCC